AAGCACGUAGGUGGGUUUGUAAGUCAGAUGUGGAAGCCUCCUGUUCAACGGGAGAAUUGCAUCUGAAACUACUGAUCUUGAGUGUAGGAGGGGAGAAUGGAACUUCUGGUGGAGCGGUGAAAUGCGUAGAUAUCAGAAGGAACGCCGGCGGCGAAAGCGACUCUCUGGCCUAUUACUGACACUCAGUGUGCGAAAGCUAGGGGAGCAAACGGGAUUAGAUACCCCGGUAGUCCUAGCUGUAAACGAUGGGCACUAAGUAGAGGGGUUUU
rnacentral:rRNA from 1 species